CAAGCUUUUAGCAUAAAACUGAGACUAAACAAGCUUUUAGACUGGAUUGCACACAUCAACUUUCAUGCUUGCGUGUUCAAAGGACAUUCACCUGUCACCAUAAAGCAAGCAAAAGGAUUUCUUCAAAUAACAAGGCAUACCUUUAGAACAUGUUUCCAGAGUCCUGCAUAUAUGCCACCAAUCUGUAGGGCGCUUUCUUAGCCAGCAUGGACUGGAUACGUUAAUCAACAGUAGAAGUU
rnacentral:lncRNA from 1 species